rnacentral:tRNA from 1 species
GCCCUGGCGGACCAGGGGAGUGGUCGUCACGUUCUCACCGUGAAGAUCGUGGGUUCGAAUCCCAUCCAGGGUA